GCGACAGGACCGGAGAUGGACAUUUAAGAUUAAAUAAAUACGAAGCCUCAGACGACCAUGGUCACUCUGUAAAAUAAUCUCCCAAAAGGUCCUGUGAUGCUGGACAACCCCAAGAUCAGAUUUCAGUCUGGCACGAAGACAGUCCUCCUACAACAUAAACACUUUGGUGUUCAAGUGUACAACCGUACAACAAUUACAUAAAAAUGUAGCCCACCAAUGAGAACAUGAACUAUGACCAUGCGAGCGCAGCCCCCUGAGCCCCGCUCAGCCCUGCUGAGAAGGUGAUUGGCUGCAAUUAGCCCACCCUCGAGGACCUGCACAGCCUCGAGGUCCUGGCAACCCUUGAGGACCUGAACACCUCGAUGACCCUGAGGCAAGCGAGGAAGAUUGUGGCGGACUCCUCCCACCCUGGACACUCCCUGUUUCAGUCCCUC